rnacentral:rRNA from 1 species
CACGGGGGAGCAAGCGUUGUUCGGAAUCACUGGGCGUAAAGGGCGUGUAGGCGGUCAUGUAAGUGGGAUGUGAAAGCCCUCGGCUCACCCGAGGAUCUGCAUCUCAAACUGCAUGGCUUGAGUAUGGGAGAGGAUGAGGGAAUUCCUGGUGUAGCGGUGAAAUGCGUAGAUAUCGAGAGGAACACCGGUGGCGAAGGCGGCUCUUUGGUCCACAACUGACGCUGAGGUGCGAAAGCCAGGGGAGCAAACGGG